UCCUCUUUCUGACUUCUCUUUCCUUGUCCUUGAACUUAGAGAGAAAGGGGUCUUUGAAAAUGUCCAUUUUGAAACCACAAUGGUAUGAGAAUCACAGGUCUCUGAUUGCUCAACCCUCCUCCAAAUCCAAAUGCGCAUUUACUUUCCUCCUGCCAGAGUGGAAAUUGUGUGAGCACCUGAAGCCUGCCUGGAAUCUGAGUCUCCACGCCCUGGUCCCAUGACCUAGACUCAAACUCAAACGUGGGCUCUUCCUGAUGGGUCUUGAGCCUGCCGGCCUUCAGACUGAAACUAUACCAUCAGCUCUGCUGGUUCUCCAGGCCUUUGGACCCAGGCUGGAACCACAUUGCCAGCCCUCCUGGACUUCCAGCUUGGUGCCUGCAGAUCUUGGGACUUGUCAGCCUCCGUAAUUGUGUGAGCCGAUUCCUCAUAAUAAAUCUCUUCCUAUAUGAAUAUA